GGAAGGAGAAGUCGUAACAAGGUUUCCGUAGGUGAACCUGCGGAAGGAUCAUUGUCGAAACCUGCCCAGCAGAGCGACUAGUAACGUGUUUAUCAUACGCGGGGGAGGGGGCGCUCCGGCGCCCGCGAGCCCACGCAGGGGGGUGCGAGCCUUCCCGCCUCUAUGGGACGGGGAGCCCUUCCGGCAAAACAACGAACCCCGGCGCGGUCUGCACCAAGGAACAUGAAUACAAGCGUGCCCGCCCCUCACCGGUUCGCCGGGUCGGGGCGCGGCACCAAGUCGUAUAAAACAUUAAACGACUCUCGGCAACGGAUAUCUCGGCUCUCGCAUCGAUGAAGAACGUAGCGAAAUGCGAUACUUGGUGUGAAUUGCAAAAUCCCGUGAACCAUCGAGUCUUUGAACGCAAGUUGCACCCGAAGCCUUCUGGCCGAGGGCACGCCUGCCUGGGCGUCACGCAUCGCGUCUCCCCCAACCCGCGCACAGCGGGGCGGAGGAGGAGGAUGGCCUCCCACGCCUCACCGGGCGUGGAUGGCCUAAAUAAGGAGCCCCCGGAUACGAACUGCCGCGGCGAUAGGUGGUAGACAGGGCCUUAAAAAUCCCAGGAUGCAUCGCGUCGCGCAGCACGUAGCUCCCGAGGCCUCGAAGGACCCCAAUGUUGUCUCCCUUAACCGGGACGGCAAAACCGUUGCGACCCCAGGUCAGGCGGGGCUACCCGCUGAGUUUAAGCAUAUCAAUAAGCGGAGGA
rnacentral:rRNA from 1 species